UGGGGGAUAUUGCACAAUGGGCGAAAGCCUGAUGCAGCGACGCCGCGUGGGGGAUGAAGGCCUUCGGGUUGUAAACUUCUUGUGCUCUGAACAAGGCAUGCUUUUGGGGUGUGUUGAGUGUAGGGGUUGAUUAGCGCCGGCUAACUACGUGCCAGCAGCCGCGGUAAUACGUAGGGCGCGAGCGUUGUCCGGAAUUAUUGGGCGUAAAGGGCUUGUAGGUGGCUGGUUGCGUCUGUCGUGAAAGCUCAUGGCUUAACUGUGGGUUUGCGGUGGGUACGGGCUGGCUUGAGUGCAGUAGGGGAGGCUGGAAUUCCUGGUGUAGCGGUGGAAUGCGCAGAUAUCAGGAGGAAUACCGGUGGCGAAGGCGGGUCUCUGGGCUGUUACUGACGCUGAGGAGCGAAAGCGUGGGGAGCGAACAGG
rnacentral:rRNA from 1 species